CCUACGGGAGGCAGCAGUAAGGAAUAUUGGUCAAUGGACGCAAGUCUGAACCAGCCAUGCCGCGUGAAGGAUGAAGGCCCUCUGGGUUGUAAACUUCUUUUAUCUGGGACGAAAAAAGGGGAUUCAUCCUCACUUGACGGUACCAGAGGAAUAAGCACCGGCUAACUCCGUGCCAGCAGCCGCGGUAAUACGGAGGGUGCAAGCGUUAUCCGGAUUUACUGGGUUUAAAGGGUGCGUAGGUGGGUAGGUAAGUCAGUGGUGAAAUCUUCAAGCUUAACUUGGAAACUGCCAUUGAUACUAUUUAUCUUGAAUUAUCUGGAGGUAAGCGGAAUAUGUCAUGUAGCGGUGAAAUGCUUAGAUAUGACAUAGAACACCCAUUGCGAAGGCAGCUUACUACGGAUAUAUUGACACUGAGGCACGAAAGCGUGGGGAUCAAACAGGAUUAGAUACCCUGGUAGUCCACGCCCUAAACGAUGGAUACUCGACAUCAGCGAUACACUGUUGGUGUCUGAGCGAAAGCAUUAAGUAUCCCACCUGGGAAGUACGACCGCAAGGUUGAAACUUAAAUGAAAUUGACGGNNGAGAGNGACGAGACGACGACGAGGAGGAGG
rnacentral:rRNA from 1 species